CACGGGGGGAGCAAGCGUUGUUCGGAAUCACUGGGCGUAAAGGGCGUGUAGGCGGUCAAGUAAGUGGAAUGUGAAAGCCCCCGGCUUACCCGGGGAUCUGCAUCCCAAACUGCUUGGCUUGAGUACGGGAGAGGAUAGGGGAAUUCCUGGGUGUAGCGGUGGAAAUGCGUAGAUAUCAGGAGGAACACCGGUGGCGAAGGCGCCUAUCUGGCCCGAUACUGACGCUGAGGCGCGAAAGCUAGGGGAGCAAACGGG
rnacentral:rRNA from 1 species